rnacentral:lncRNA from 1 species
UGGUAAUCCAAUGUAUAAGCAAUGGACUGUUUUAUUCUUGGUGCUUUCAAGACCUGAUGCUUUGUUUUGAACAGGUUGAUACAUCUAGGAGUGAAAUACAUCACCGCUUUCCCUGCUCCCGCCGCCAUUAAAAUUGUGUUUGGCAUCUGACCACCAAGAUACAGAUAUUUCCUAGACUGUUUUGCAGCUAGGUACUUAGAAGUUUUUCUAAGUUAUUUAAACUUCUCACCACACAAAAUCUGGAUUUGUAUCUGUCACGUAGUAAUUGCUUGAUAAAUGACUGUGCCCUGCAUUCUCAGCUGCCUCAGCAUUCCCUAACUCCUCUAUUCAUUUGAGGGCUCCUACCUCCUGGACUGUUCAGGAAAAGGCCCUGCAGAAAAAAAA